CCGAGAUGGGAAGAAAGGGGUAUAGUGUCUCUCUGGUACCGGUCUCUGGUUAUUAAAGGAGCCUCUGCCGGCUCUAGUUGAGCCUCGAAAUCCACGGCCAGGCAGACGGCUCCUUCCUCUGCCGGCCCUUCCAAAAACCCGUGGUGCAAAUACUCUCUUAAGAGAUGUCUGAGCCUUAUCAAUUGCCGUAAACGUUUUAAC